AUUGAACGCUGGCGGCAUGCCUUACACAUGCAAGUCGAACGGCAGCACGGGUGCUUGCACCUGGUGGCGAGUGGCGAACGGGUGAGUAAUACAUCGGAACAUGUCCUGUAGUGGGGGAUAGCCCGGCGAAAGCCGGAUUAAUACCGCAUACGAUCUACGGAUGAAAGCGGGGGACCUUCGGGCCUCGCGCUAUAGGGUUGGCCGAUGGCUGAUUAGCUAGUUGGUGGGGUAAAGGCCUACCAAGGCGACGAUCAGUAGCUGGUCUGAGAGGACGACCAGCCACACUGGGACUGAGACACGGCCCAGACUCCUACGGGAGGCAGCAGUGGGGAAUUUUGGACAAUGGGCGAAAGCCUGAUCCAGCAAUGCCGCGUGUGUGAAGAAGGCCUUCGGGUUGUAAAGCACUUUUGUCCGGAAAGAAAUCCUUGGCCCUAAUACGGUCGGGGGAUGACGGUACCGGAAGAAUAAGCGCCGGCUAACUACGUGC
rnacentral:rRNA from 1 species